rnacentral:tRNA from 1 species
GGACCCGGAUGGUACAGUCCCGUGACUCUUAAUCAGUGGGUUCAGGGUUCAAGUCCCUGGGGGUGCA